GAAGGGGGAAGGGUGGAGAGAACAACAAACACACGCACGGAAACAACCAGCAAGAUGCCAAACCACCACGAAGAAUCUUUACCAGAGAGCCUUUAAACAAUUUGUGGAAAGCUGGAGCUGCAGUUUGGAUAGGCGCUGUGAUAUCGGGGUGGAUUGCUACAAUAGGGUUCUGAGGGAUACCAGGAAACAGGCAAGACCAAUUACUCAGACUGCAUUAGAAGAGUACUUUCCCC